CCUACGGGAGGCAGCAGUGGGGAAUAUUGGGCAAUGGGCGCAAGCCUGACCCAGCAACGCCGCGUGAAGGAUGAAGGCUCUCGGGUUGUAAAAUUCCUUUGACAGGGAAGAGUAGAAGACGAUACCUGUCGUAUACGCCACGGCUAACUACGUGCCAGCAGCCGCGGUAAUACGGAGGUGGCACGCGAUGUCCGGAUUUACUGGGUGUAAAGGGCGUGUAGCCGGGUUGACAAGUCAGAUGUGAAAUCCUGCGGCUGAACCGUAGAACUGCAUUUGAAACUGUUGAUCUUGAGUACUGGAGAGGCAGACGGAAUUCGUGGUGUAGCGGUGAAAUGCGUAGAUAUUAGGAGGAACACCAGUGGCGAAGGCGGCCUGCUGGACAGCAACUGACGGUGAGGCGCGAAAGCGUGGGGAGCGAACAGGAUUAGAUACCCGAGUAGUC
rnacentral:rRNA from 1 species